UCCGUAGGUGAACCUGCGGAGGGAUCAUUACAGAGUUGCAAGACUCCCUAAACCAUUGUGAACCUACCUUCUACCGUUGCUUCGGCGGGCGGGCCCAGCGCCCCCCCGGCCCCCCGCGGGCGCCCGCCGGAGGAUACCCAAACUCUUGACAUUAGUGGCCUCUCUGAGUAUUCUUUACUGAAUAAGUCAAAACUUUCAACAACGGAUCUCUUGGUUCUGGCAUCGAUGAAGAACGCAGCGAAAUGCGAUAAGUAAUGUGAAUUGCAGAAUUCAGUGAAUCAUCGAAUCUUUGAACGCACAUUGCGCCCGCCAGUAUUCUGGCGGGCAUGCCUGUUCGAGCGUCAUUUCAACCAUCAAGCCCCCGGGCUUGUGUUGGGGACCUGCGGCUGCCCGCAGGCCCUGAAAACCAGUGGCGGGCUCGCUAGUCACACCGAGCGUAGUAGCAUACAUCUCGCUCAGGGCGUGCUGCGGGUUCCGGCCGUUAAACAGCCUCUGCGCUACACCCAAGGUUGACCUCGGAUCAGGUAGGAAGACCCGCUGAACUUAAGCAUAUCAAUAAGCGGAGGA
rnacentral:rRNA from 1 species